rnacentral:lncRNA from 1 species
UGACUAGGAACCAUGAGGUUGCGGGAUCAAUCCCUGGCCUUUCUCAGUGGGUUAAGGAUCUGGCAUUGCCGUGAGUUGUGGUGUAGGUUGCAGACACGGCUCGGAUCCCACGUUGCUGUGGCUCUGGCAUAGGCCAGUGGCUACAGCUCCGAUUAGACCCCUAAACUGAGAACCUCUGUAUGCUGUGGGAGUGGCCCAAGAAAAAGGCAAAAAAUAAAUAAAUAAAUAAAUAAAUAAAAUUAGUAUCUAUAAUCUUUGAAUUUUAAAAUAAAUAGUUAAAUCACAUGGGGAUAUUUGUUGAGCUGAUAUUUUCUUGUUGCUGACAUUUUCCGUAAUUAAGUAAAUAACGUAUAUUGAAGUAAACAAAUAGGCCAAAUUUUCACAAAGACCAAUAUUUUGAUUUUUCUAUUCCUUCAUUUUUAAUUUUUAGUAUUAUUUGCUUAAAGUUUUCAGUUAAGCAUAGUUCCUCAGAUCAUUCUAAGGUAUGCAAAUGCAUAUCUCCUCAGAGAAUUUUAGACCAACUUUAUUAUAAUUUUUUCAUAACUUGAUGUUAUUCUGUCCAAUAAUUAAAUGAUAAAUCUUGCCACUUUCAUUACUAAUGAAUGUGUCUACCUGUUAUCAAAUAGUAAAAUUACUUAUUUAAGGUUAUUCUUUAAUUGCUCUGCAUCUAGCCAAUUAUUCUAUUAAAUUGCUAAAUUAAAACAGGCAAGGAAUAUAAUUCAAGAACCACAUUGGCUUUAUAUUUAAACUGACAUUUUGUUUCAUUCUUGAUCUAAACUGAAUUUAUCUAAUCCUUUUCCCUUCCAAACAGUGAACAGUUUUUUAGUGGCUAUUAGCAGCAGCCUUUGAGAGGACUAUACUUUCUAUUCCUUUUAACACACAAACACACAUAUGGAAAUCUGUCACUACAUUUAUGCACACAGAAACACGUGUAAACAUAUAUUUAUUCAUACAAUGAGUCACACCAAUUAGGAUACAUUAAAAAUAAAUGACCAAAUUAAUAUAUUUAAUAACUUUAUUAAUAUUUUAUAAUUUUAAUACAUAACUCAAUAUUACUUCAGAUCCUCUUUUUCUGGUAUGUUACCAUUUUUUUGGAGACAGGAAUCAUUUGCAAAUCCAUUACUUUAGAUAUUUUGUAUGCAAUGUAAAAAAAUUUUUUUUUAAUUGAGGACAAAAUUUAUUCUUGAAAAUUAUAACCUGUAGGGUUUAAUUUAACAAAUACCCUGUAUUUAAAGAUUAUUCAGUUUUUAUGAUUGAUUACAUUUUUACCACUUUCUUCUAAUUUUUAUUAUCAGUGAAAACUUACUGACUGGCCACCUGAGCAGUAAUUACUAUGAAAGCAUUAAGUUUCAUGAUGCCAUUUGUGGUCUGUGAUUAAUUUAGUUUAUUUAUUCCAUGACUCAUUUCAUUUUUCAAGGACAUAAAGAUACUCAGUGACCUACAUAAAUAUUUGCUACUACUCAAAAAUGAUAACUACUAUUCACAUAUAUCUUCAAAUUCUUCAAAUAUUAUAUUCCACUAUUGAACUUAUCUUCCAUAGCAGUUAAAACUUAUUCUAGUCAAAGACCUUUGGAUUAACCCUGUCCCUCAAGGAGUUAAAAAAUAAACAUUUACAAUUAAAGUUAAUUAUAAUUUCAUUGAAAAUAAAUAGUUUAUUUCUAGGUGACAGAUGCUAUUUCAAAAAAAUGCAUAUUUCUUCAUAAAAGAAAAUUCUGUGAUCUGCUUAACUUGUAAUAUUUGACUUGCAAUAUACAUAUUGAGAUUAACGAUUUACAAUUUCACUAAACAACUCUUUUUAAAUUACCAAAUAUAAAGGGUUAAGUGCGGACUGAAAACAAUAUUGUUUUCAAAUUGUAUAAAUAAUUUUUAAGAGAAUGUGGACCAUAAGAUUUUUAAGUAUUCUUUAUAACAUUAGUUUUAACUAGUUCAGCUCAUUUUUUAAUAAGUAGCAAAUAUGCCUAUUGGUGGUUUUAUACUCCAGUAACUUCCUUGUCACCAAUGUGUGAAUAUUUUUUAGGUUUUUACAGUUGUCAGUUUUCACCUAGUAAUUUAUUUGUGUCUUUUAUAAAAAAUGUUAGCCAACAAAUGAAAACCUCUCUAAUAUAAAUGCAGUCAUUUACAAAAAUGAGGACAGUUUAAACUGGAAUGGAACAGAAGACUGACAAAAACAUCUUCUAAAGGAAUGGAAAUAUAGUGGCUUUUUGAGGAAAAUAUUUAAAGACAUAUGUAAUCUUGCUAGUAAAUAAUUUGAACAUCAGAAUCUGUCUGAAAAUACAUUUUCCUUGUAUUGGGCAGAAUUUUAAGAUAUCCUUUGUUCAAGUAUAUGGUCUUCAAAAUUCCAAUGGCAUUUUUAAUAGAAAUAGAAAAAAAUAUUACAAUUCCUAUGGAAUCACAAAACAAUCUUGAUAAAAGAACAAAGCUGGAGGCCUCACACUUCCUGACCUCAAAACAUAUUAUAAAGUUACAGUAAUCAAAAUAGUGUGGUACUGGCAUAAAGACAGACAUAUAGUCACUGAAAUAAAAUAAAAAAGCCCAGAUAUAGAUAGAUAGAUUUUUUUUUCAAAUGAUCUUUGACAAGAGUACCAAGGGUACACACUGAGAAAAGCCUAGUCUGUUCAACAAAUGGUACUAGAAAAACUGAAUAUCUACAUGCAAAAGAAUGAACUUAGAUCUUUAUUUUACACCAUGCCACAAAAAUCAACUCAAAAUGGUUUAAAAACUUAAAUGUACAACCUGAAACUGAAAUUCUCGUGGUUUCAUAGCAAAGAGGAAGAGAUUCAUAACACUGGUCUUUGCAACAACUUAUUGGAUAUGACACCAGAGGCACAAGUAAAAAAAGCAAAACAGACAAGUGGGACUGCAUCAAACCAAAACGUUUCUGCAUAGGAAUGGAAACAACAGGAUCAAAAGAUAACCUAUGGAAUGGGAGAAAAUAUUUGCAAACUAUAUAUCUGAUAAGAAUUUAACCUCCAAAAUAUAUAAGGAAUUUCAUUAACUCAAUAGCAGUAAAAUAAAUAAAUCAAUUUAAAAAGUCGACAAAUAAUUUGAAUAGACAUUUUUCCAAAGAAGACAUACAUAUGGCCAAUAAUUGCAUGACGAAAAGCUCAACAUUGCUUAUCAUCAGGGAAGUGCAAAUCAAAACCACAAUGAGACAUCAUCUCACACCUGUUAAGAUAACUACUUUAUCAGAAACAAAAGAUGACAAGGAUUUGAAGAAUUAGAAUCCUUGCAUGCUGUUGGGGGAAUGUAAAAUGGUACCUCCACCAUGGAAAAUACUGUAGAGGUUCCUCAAAAAAAUUAAAAAUAAAAAUUACCAUAUAUCCUGACAAUUGCACAUCUGGGUAUAUUCCAAUGAGUUUGAAAUUAUGAUCUCAAAUAAUUAUCUACAUCCUUAUGUUCACUGAGGCAUUUUUCACAGUAGCCAAGGUAUGGAAACAGUCUAAAUAUCCAUCUAUGGAUUAUUGAAUUAAGAAAAUGUAGUAUAUACAUACAGUAGCAUAUUAGCCAGUUUUAUUUAUUUAUUUAUUUUUAUCCAGUUUUAAAAAAGAAGGAAAUCCUGCCAUAUGCAACAGCAUGGAUGAACUUGGAGGACAUUGUACUAAGUGAAAUAAGCCAGUCACAGAGGACAAAUCUUAUAAGACUUAUAUGCGGUAUUUAGAAUCAUCAAAAUCAUAGAAGCAGAGAGUAGAAUGUUCAUUGCCAGGGGAAAUGGGAAGCAAUUCACGAAUAUAGUUUCAGUUAUGCAAAAUGAAUAUGUUCUAGAGAUGUGCCAUAAAACACUGUGCCUAUUGUCAGCAGUACUGUAUUGUGAACUUAAAAAUCUAAGAUAGUAGAUCUCAUGUUAAGUGUACUUAGAUUUUUUAAAAAUGAUUUUUGAAAUCUUUGCUUCUGGUGUUACUCCUGUAAUUAUUUUAUAGUACAUGGCAAAGGUGGAUUUUGCAGAUGUAGUUAAAGUUACUAAUUUGCUGAUCAUUAGAAAGAGUCAUCAACUGGGUGGCCUUAAUCUAAUCUUGUGCAUCCUUAACAAAGCAGAGAGUUUUCUCAGGCUGGUGGAAGAAGAAGUCAGAUCUGAAGCAUGGAAAAGAUUCAAUCCACCAUUGCAGGCUGGAAGAUGAAGGUGACUAUGUGACCAGGAAUGCAGUAGGCUGAUGAAAUCUGGGAGUGGCCUCUGGCUGACAACCAGAAAGAAAACCAGGACCUCAGUCCUGCAACCAGAAAGACCUGAAUUAUACCACAACCUGAAUGAGCUUGAAAGUAGAUGCCUUCAGAUAAGAGCCCAAUCAAUAGACAUCUUGUUGAGAGUCUACAAGGUCCUUAGCAGAGAACGCAGUUGAGUCUGACGUGUCUCAAUCUACAGACUUUUCAAAGACUUAUAGACAGAUCUGUCUGCCAAAUAUUUUAGCUUUGUUGACUACAUGCUUACUUUAGUACUGUACUAUAAAGACUCAAAGGGAAAAAAACAACACAUAGCUCUUGAACCUUGAACCUAGCAGGGCAAUUACAACAACAUAGCAUAUCUAAGCUACUCCCUCCUAAACCUACAAAAUACCUUUCUCAACAUUUGCAUGUGUGCACAUAUGACACUCCAUUCUCCAGCAAAAGCUAUAAGAUUGACUAUCUUAAAGACUAGCUUUGAUUAUGUCUUUAUUCUGCAUAUUUGAUUGUCAUUAACUGUCCUGCAGUUACUUUCUGUUACAAAAUGAAGAUUUAUUCUUUGGUUUAACAAAAAACAAUCAGAUAUAUAUAUAUAUAUCAGACAAUCAAACAAGUAUUCUUUUUUCUUGGCCUACCAAAAAUCUAGAGAAUGGAUGAUCUUUCUAUUCUAUUAGGCCUGCUGUUUCUUUGUCCAUAACACACACUAAGGUCAUAUUUCUCUUAUAUAUAUUUGUUCUGUGUAAUUUCUUCCUUCCAAUUAUAUUACUAAAUUAACUAAGCCAUCUAUACUAGGAGGGAAAGAACCAAGAAAAAGUAGAUUGAAUAAAGAAAGAAAAAGGGAGUUCCUGUCGUGGCUCAGUGGUGAACAAAUCCAACUAGGAACCACGAGGUUGUGGGUUCGAUCCCUGGCCUGUGCAGCCUUAGAUCUAAAGACAGAUGAAAAAAAAAAAAAAA